rnacentral:lncRNA from 1 species
GUGAGCCACCUCACCCAGCUGAAGCUAUUUUAUAAAGUAUAUUAAACUUUACAGGUCCCUAAAAUAGUUUUUGGAUAAAACAAUUAAACAGGAAAAUAUAUAUAAAUAUUUUGCUGCUACUUGAAUAUGAAUGAUAGUGCUAGAAAAUAACAAAGAAAAACAUGAAAAGAUUUGAGUGCAUAAAAGUUUUAAGUUUGUACAAACAGAAACACAAAACCCAACAAACAUACUAAAAUGUUCAGUCUUAAUGGUAAUUACAAAAGUGUAAAUUAAAACAAUGCAUCUAUCAUUUCAAAAUUAUAAAUGCUAAAACUUUUGUUAACAAAGAUAU